rnacentral:rRNA from 1 species
GAUGAUACGGGGUAGGCAGGCGUGGUAUGACGGGGGUGGUGGGCGUUAAUGGGAUUUAUGUGGCGUAAAUCGAGCGGUGGGGGUUAAUUAAGUCAAUGGUGAAAGCCCUGAGCGUAGCAUGGGAAUUGGAUUGGUGGUUGAUGGGCUAGAGUAUGGGGGAGGAUGGUAGAAGUCCAGGUGUAGCGGUGAAAUGCGUCGAUAUCUGGAGGAAUACCGAUGGCGAAGGCAGCCAUCUGGCCGAAUACUGACACUGGGGUUCGAAAGCAUGGGGAGCAAACAGGAUUAGAUGCCCGGGUAAUC